GUAAUAUUGAGUUGCAUUGAUUUACACUGACGUUCAUCAAGCUGUGCAGACCUGGACGGUGGCUGAUGAAACCUGUAGAACAAUGCGGAUGAAACGGUAAAUGAAUACGGAAUGUUUGUUUUUCGUUUGUUUGCACGCGCCUUUUGUUUGUUUGCGCAUGCGCCAACCAAACUCUCAUCCGGCGUGUUUACGCGACGUGUAUUUUUCGAGUGCAGCGGCUCAAAGUGGCGCUGUGCAGCGUGUGUAAGCUAAUGGGUAUUUUUAUUUACUUUUUGUGCGCGAGGGCUCACAAAACGAUCCACGGAGCGUGCCCAAUGAACAAACGCACGUUCUGGAACACGAACAUGAGCAGAACAUGCACAGGCGAGCAUUCGGAACCUUCUAGAACAUUCCAGUACAAGCGAACAUAGUUGAGGAGCGUCCUAGAAUUUUCCACAACAUUCCGACAACCAGUUAAAACGUUAUGGAAGGGUACGUUUUAAGAGGUAUGACAUGUACAAAUGUUUGAAGGCAAUAAAUCGCCGAGAGGGUUUUAAAAAAUGCUACAAAGUUACAAAAACCUCGUUAUUUUUGCGAGGUUAGAAUGUAUUCAAGUGUACAAACAGAUUAUGCUUUGUUUGCUUGGUAUUUAUUAAAAUUUAUCCCGUGUUAAGUGUUCUACGUGUAUUCCGCUGAUAAUCCACGUAUUAAUUUAAAAUACAUGGAAGGCAGGCCAACGUGUGUAAGCCAAAACGUGUUUUCCAGCGCAUGUUUCGAAGCGUAAGGAUUGGUCCUGACCGAAAAAGAUUCAACGUAAUUUCAUUUUGCAUCCACGACGACCCAAAACGUCCCAACGGACGACCCGCAAUGUUUGAAUAUUUGGAGGCGAAGCAAAAAGAAGAGUUAAAAGUAUAUAGUCCUAUAGUUAAUAAGAAAGCAACGAAGAAACUACGAAAACUCUGUUGGUGAGUUCAAGGAAAACAAGAAUAACAAGAAUUAAAAUGGAAAAGGACCAAUAGGAUAGUAGGGUAACAUGUUUUCAUGUUUUCGCUUGGCUUGCUCAGGCGGGUCGAGUAAGUUUGCAUUCUCGUCCUCGUCGAGGACUCCAGAUGGCCAGAUGCGACGUCCUGCGGGAGGACGUGUGCGGGCGCCCUUCCAAUUCGGGCGGAAACAAUUGUUUCAACUCUGACAGCGACAUUCCUCUCUUUCUCCUCGUGCGUGCCAAUAUAUACAUUUAAAUUAGAACAGAAGCAUCUGGUGUCGACGUUAAACAAAUUUAUAGAACCAAUUUAGGUUAUAAUAGCAAUCCGCAUUAGUAUUACAUUUAACAUUAAUGAAAACAAACAAUUUCUUCGGGGCGCAAUGAAUUAAUUUGUUGGAAUGUUUGGCAUUUUGAAAUUUAAUCUUUACUUAUAGUAUCAAAGUGUAGGAUGACAGUGGGUUGCAACGGCGAGGAAUUUAAUGAAAGACAGAUGCGUGCAACCCUUCCGUUUUCCGGUUCAUCCAGCAGGUUGGUGAGUGAGUCGGUUCUAUGAGGUGGCAUCUGCUCAACUGCCGACACGUAACUGUUGGAGCACGCGAUGCAAGCAAGGACGAAGAAUGAAGGAUAAAGGACGAAGGACGAGACGAAAAUAACGUACUUAUGACGAAAAUAUUACGCGGAGGUAUUUCGUAGGAGUAUUCUACAUUCAGGUAUUAUAUAUUUUCGAAUAUUAUUGUUGUUUGGAUGAAAAAUCUAUUUUUAAUCUUUGCUUUUAAUAUUCGAGAUUUUUUGCGGUAUAAACGAACAAAAGUCCUAUAAAUAAUUGAAUAGGUUUGGAAAAUAUAAUUUACAUGCAUAAUAUCAUGUUUACCAAUUAAUUAUUAAUGAAUAAAGGAUAAAUAUUUUAUUAUUUGCAUAUUUAUUCACGAAUAUGUGAAUCAAUAGUUCAAUAUUUGAACGAAAUGAAAAUAUUAAUCGUAAAAACAUAUUAAUAUAUUUUAGCAAAAUUAGCGAUGCACUUAAUAUAUUCAGUUGCAUUAAAUAAUAAAUAAUAAUUUCACGUUUGCGUUCAAAAUUUAAUUUAAUAUGAUUGCUUUUAGCUGUGAAGAGUAAUAAUAUGAAAAUGGUGCAAUGAGAGUUUUGCUAAUUAUUCUGGCAAAUUGAAAUGUUCCAACGAUACGAACUAAUUUGAAAUCAAAUAUUCAAAUCAUAAACACAAUCAAUCACGUUUAAAUUGUUCGCUGCGCGUUAAAACCACUUCAAUCGCAUUAAAAACUUAAUUAUAUGAUAGCGUCAUAUAGCUAAAUUAUAUUUCCAUGAAACUAUUGGUGUUAAAAUUGUUUAAUGUUAUCUGCAUUGCACGAGCAUCUGCAUUGCACCAGUGGAUAGUAGCAAGGUAGAAAUUGCGUCAUUUAUGCAAAGAGUAAAUUAAUUUUACUCUUUACGUUAUACUCUCGCUUGAUAAGAAUAUUCUACGGAGGUUAAAGUGUAUAUAAUCAUAGUUUUUACUUAAAAUUGAAGUUUAAAUUAAAAAAUUGAGUUUUUAACUUUAAUUUAUUGCCUAAACAUGCAUGCAUCUUCAAAAUCUUUAUAUAAAAGUUGAUUUUGUUAGUUAAAACACUUAUAACUACAGACCGGCUGGACAGAUUUUGAUGAUCUAUGAUUUUUUUAAUUCGUAUUUAUCUUGAAUAGCAGAAUAAUUAUUAAAAUAUAAAAAAAUUGAUUUAAAGGAAGUUAAAUCUAUGAUAUAAAAAUGAAGUGCAAAAUCUGUUGGAAAGCGCAUAUCUCAACAACGCCUAGACCAAUUUGGCCAAUUAUUUUUUUAAAUGUUCGUUAAAGUCCAAGGAUGGUUUAUACGGCGAGAAAAAUUCGAGUAAUUGUUGAGUUGGCAUUGAGAUUCAAUCAUAGUUAUAAUUAAAUAGUUGAAUCCGAUGGCGUUAACGUGCAUAAUUAGCAUUUCUUAUUUCUUUAAAAUAAAAUUGUGGAACUUAUUGAUGAAAUCAUCACCUACUAAGUCCAAGAAACAAGGAUGUAAGAAUUUCUUAUAUUUUUAGUAAGAACUACGAGACUAUGUCGCGAAUAAAACUAAGUUUCAUACAAAA